AUGUCGACGGCACUGACACUACUGCUGCUCCUUGCGGCAGCGGCAGCUACCACCGCGACCACUGGUGGGUGUCCGCCGAGCUGCGGCGGCGUGGACAUCCCCUACCCCUUCGGCAUCGGCCCAGGAUGCUUCCGCAAGGGCUUCGAGAUCGAGUGCACCAAGGACGGCCCUGUCCUCGCCGGCACGCCUCUCCGGGUGGUGCGCCUCUCCGUGGAUCCAGACGAGUCCGAGGUGCUGCUCCCCAUCGGGUAUCACUGCUACAACUCGUCCAGCCCCAGCUCAACCGAGGACUUCAGCUACGCUGAGACGGAGAUGAACAAGGACGGCGUGUACCGCAUCUCCAACACGCACAACAUGCUCGUCGUCGUCGGCUGCAACACCAUGGCCUACACCGGCAGCGGGAAGACCGAGGGCGGCACCGACAGCUACGCCUACUACACCGGGUGCUUGUCCUUCUGCAACAACUCCGCGAGCGCGCAGGACGGCCUCUGCGCCGGCGUCGGCUGCUGCCACGUCGACAUCCCGCCGGGGCUCACCCACAACUACUACAAGUUCCGGCCCUACGACCACUCCACCAUGAUGGACUACAGCCCCUGCGAGUACGCCUUCCUCGUCGACAGGACCAACUACACCUUCCUCCGCUCCCACCUCAAGAUGGACACCAAACGGACCUCGCCGGUGUGGCUGGACUGGGCCAUCCGCGGCAACAGCUCCAACCCCGGCGACACACCGUCGUGCAAGCAAGCGGCCAAGACGGGUCAGUACGCCUGCGUGAGCGCUGACAGCCGUUGCGUCGAUUCCACCAAUGGGCCUGGCUACAACUGCAAGUGCUCUGAUGGCUACGAGGGAAACGCCUACUUUGCCGGCGGAUGCACGGAUAUUGAUGAAUGUGCAGAUCCAGCCAAGUAUGGUUGCUACGGUGUCUGCACGGAUAUCCAAGGAGAUUACAAAUGCGAAUGCCCUCCAGGUUAUCGGAGUCGUGAUCCAAGAACCGAACGAUGCACUCAAAAGUUCCCACUUGCAGCACAGAUUUCCGUAGGUGCAAUAGGUGGCAUUCUUGUCUUGGCAUUUCUGGCAUUCUUUUUUGUUCUUCGCAAAGAGAAGCAGAAGGCCAAAGACUUUUACCAAAAGAAUGGUGGUCUUACAUUAGAGAAAGCUAGAACUAUUAAGAUUUACACAAGGGGGAAUCUCAAACCAGUUUUAAAGAGUAGCAAUGUAAUUGGUAAAGGUGGCUUUGGUGAAGUUUACAAGGGUGUUGUUGAUGGAGUUAUCGUUGCAGUAAAGAAACCAAAUGGUCGUAGUGUCCUAGAGAAGGAGCAAUUUCCAAAUGAAGUCACCAUCCUGUCUUAAGUCAGCCACAAGAACAUCGUAAGGCUUAUAGGUUGUUGCCUCGAAGUGGAUAACCCCAUGCUAGUCUAUGAAUUCAUCUCCAAAGGAAGCUUGGAGGACAAUCUUCAUAGAGCUGACAACAAGGAGCUUCUUGACUUGGAUGUACGUCUAAGUAUUCUUGAAGACUCAGCACAUGGUCUAGCUUAUAUGCACUCACAAACCCAUAACACAAUCCUGCAUGGUGAUGUCAAACCAGCAAACAUACUCUUGAAUGAGAACUUUUCCCCAAAGAUCGCGGAUUUUGGCAUAUCAAGGUUGAUUGCACAAGGCAAGGACCACACUAGAAACAUCAUAGGUGACAUGUCUUAUAUGGAUCCCGUGUACCUACAAACAGGUCGAUUGACCGACAAAAGUGAUGUCUACAGUUUUGGGGUCGUCAUCUUAGAGCUCAUUAGCAGGAAGAGGGCCACUCAUUCUGACAAUAAUAGCCUAGUGAGGAGCUUCCUAGAGUGUCACCAAAAUGGGGAGACAAUGACUGAGCUCUUUGAUAAGGAAAUUGCAACGACCAGAGAUUUGGAACUUCUCAACAAGUUGGUAGAGAUUGCUGUUCAGUGUCUUAACCUUGAAGCAGAUCAAAGACCGUCAAUGACAGAUGUUGCAGGUCGCCUUGUCACGCUGCAUAGGUCCCGUAAUCCUUAG
rnacentral:rRNA from 1 species